rnacentral:rRNA from 1 species
AUUGAACGCUGGCGGCAGGCCUAACACAUGCAAGUCGAACGGUAACAGGAAGAAGCUUGCUUCUUUGCUGACGAGUGGCGGACGGGUGAGUAAUGUCUGGGAAACUGCCUGAUGGAGGGGGAUAACUACUGGAAACGGUAGCUAAUACCGCAUAACGUCGCAAGACCAAAGAGGGGGACCUUCGGGCCGUCUUGCCAUCGGAUGUGCCCAGAUGGGAUUAGCUAGUAGGUGGGGUAACGGCUCACCUAGGCGACGAUCCCUAGCUGGUCUGAGAGGAUGACCAGCCACACUGGAACUGAGACACGGUCCAGACUCCUACGGGAGGCAGCAGUGGGGAAUAUUGCACAAU